rnacentral:rRNA from 1 species
AUGAACGCUGGCGACGUGGAUAAGGCAUGCAAGUCGAAUGGGUUUAGGCCCAUGGCAGACGAGGUAGUAACGCGUAGGAACUCGCCCUUUAGUCAAGCAUAACCCGCCGAAAGGUGGAAUAAUUCUUGAUAGUCCCUUCGGGGUAAAGAUUUAUCGCUAAAGGAGAGGCCUGCGUAGUAUCAGCUUGUUGGUAGUGUAAUAGACUACCAAGGCUAUGACGCUUAGGGGAGGUGAGAGCCUGACCCCCACCGAUGGAACUGAGAAACGGUCCAUACACCUACGGGUGGCCGCAGUCGAGAAUUUUCCGCAAUGGACGAAAGUCUGACGGAGCGACGUCGCGUGAUUGAUGAAGUCUUUCGGGAUGUAAAGAUCUUUUAUAGGUGAAGAAGUUUAUUGACAUUAACCUAUGAAUAAGGGGUUGCUAAACUCGU